rnacentral:rRNA from 1 species
UACGAAGGGGGGCUAGCGUUGCUCGGAAUCACUGGGCGUAAAGCGCACGUAGGCGGAUCUUUAAGUCAGGGGUGAAAUCCUGGAGCUCAACUCCAGAACUGCCUUUGAUACUGGGGAUCUCGAGUCCGGAAGAGGUGAGUGGAACUCCGAGUGUAGAGGUGAAAUUCGUAGAUAUUCGCAAGAACACCAGUGGCGAAGGCGGCUCACUGGCCCGAUACUGACGCUGAGGCACGAAAGCGUGGGGAGCAAACAGG